GGACCUUUAGCUCAGAUGGUUAGAGCACCGCACUCAUAAUGCGUAGGUCGAUGGUUCGAGUCCAUCAAGGUCCA
rnacentral:tRNA from 1 species